AUACUAUCAGGUCACCUACAAAUAAUUAUUGUUCAUUAUAAGUAAAAUUAGUAAUUUAACAACAAUAUAAAAUAUAUAUACUGACAGUGCAAUGAAUUUUUACACCAUCAAUGUACCUUAACAUAUUUUUACACCAGUUGUUAUUUUGGUUCUUAAUUUCCUUAGGAUAUAUUCUGUUAGUCUGUCAUCUUCCAUUUUGUUGCUUUUGCAUUUUGUCUUGGAUUUUCUCUUUUUAUACCCGACAAAAUUAUGUGAGAUCAAAAUGAUAUGGAUGUUUUUGUGAGAUUUAAUUUUUUACCUUAACGGAUCUGGUUAUAAAGGGGCAUACAACAUUCUAAUAGAAGGUAAUCUUUUGCUUGUUUGAUCUACCACUUUACUAUCCUUACUCAGGUUAUACAGGGGUAGCCAAAAAGUGCAUUGAUACAAGCACAACUAUUCUGGAUGUGCAAGGAGUAUGGAAUGAAGAACUUGAAUAAAUCAGCAAGAAAAUUCAUUGAAUGCCUCAGAACUAUUGAUGAUAACAAUAUUUCUUAGGGACACCAUAAAUCAUGUGUGGAUGAGAACAUGUUGUACGAAUGGAAAUUGAGUGUUAAUUGAAGCUUGGUCCAAUCUGCAGAUAAUGCUGCGUAUGCAGCUCGGAUAUUGCAAGUGGAGCAAGGCUGCACAGUGUGCAUAAGUUUCUCGAGUCUCAUUGCGUUUUAACUCAAAGGAUAACUAUAUCACCUUUCUCCUAUUUUGGUUUGGUUUGUUUAUUGAAGGCUUUGAUUUUCAUGUGCUAUGUGUGCAAUUAUGAGAGCAAAGAGAGUCUAAUAUAUUUAGUUGUAUUAAAGAAAAUUUCACCAUUUGUGAAAAUGUAGUUACGUUAUACCUAUUAGUUACUA